rnacentral:rRNA from 1 species
ACGGAGGAUGCAAGUGUUAUCCGGAAUCACUGGGCGUAAAGCGUCUGUAGGUGGUUUAAAAAGUCUACUGUUAAAAAUUGAAGCUUAACUUCAAAGAUGCCGUAGAAACUUUUAAACUUGAGGAUGGUAGGGGUAGAGGGAAUUUCCAGUGGAGCGGUGAAAUGCGUAGAUCUUGGAAAGACCACCAAUGGCGAAGGCACUCUACUGGGCCAUGACUGACACUAAGAGACGAAAGCUAGGGGAGCAAAUGGGA